AUGGAUUCGUUGCAAAAGGCUUUUGAUGACGCUCAUCUGCUGUGUAAAAAGAGGCGCCCUUGGAUGAAGCGUGUAAGUAGGCACGGUCGGUGCAUCUCAGUACUGGUGUCCUGGGGCUUUGCAAAGGCUGGAUGGCAAAUGCGUGUCUUGGCUAUUAUGUCUCUGUGGGAAACAUGGAUGAAAGCAAUUCCGUCUCCUCCCUGUGUCCCCGAUCUUGUUCCCACCGGCACUACUCAAAAAGCCAAGAAGGAAAACGCGUUAGCGGGAGGGCAACUCUCCCACCUGCAGUAUCUGGAAGAAAUGACAGUCAGCUUGGCCUCAGGCUGGCCUGACUUCCCACUCAGCCAGUUUUUUAGAGACUCGAAAGCCAGCAAGAACCCUUUCUUUGCAGAAGUAGCUGCCAGGGUUCCAAGGUAAGUCGAACAACGUCCCUUUCCUAACUGGACCAGGUGCUGGUUUCACAAGUGGACGUGUAUCCUCUGGACUAAACCAUGCAUUCCUAAUGUGCACCAGGAGGGUUUGUGAGGACAGGGAGCAAGUCUAGGUUGGUGACCAUGGGCAGCCUCUCAGAGGUGGUGGCAUUUGAGCUGAGACUUGAAUGGACAUUCAACCGUAAGCAAAUCUGGGGAAACAGAGUUCCAGAGGAAACAACAAGGGAAAAGACUCACGUGGGAAUGAAUUUGGCCAUUUCUAGGAAAGAUGGAAGCCUGGGAGGUCUUUUCCUGGGAUAAAUUCCCACAAAGGGGUGACAGGACCAAAGGUUAUAGAUAAAUUUUUUUCAAGAUUUUAUUUAUUUAUUUGAGAGAAAGAGAGACAAAGAGCAGGGAGAGGGGCAGAAGGAGAGGGAGAGGGAGAAUCUUAAGCAGGUUCCACACCCAGCACAGAGCCCCAUGCAGGGCUUGAUCUCACGACCCUGAGACCACGACCCAAGAGUUGGGUGCUCAACUGACUGAGCCACCCAGGCUUCUCAGUUAUAGACGUUUUUUAUGACUUUUGAUACACACACAUACACAUAUAUGGCUGGCUUGUUUUCCAAACGUAUAUAGGAUCAUGUGUCCAAUUGCUAACAGUUGUUGUUCCUGGGGCGUGGGAUUCAGAGGUUGACAUGAGGAGAAAAGGGGCUUUGAAGUUUCCAUCUUCUCCAUGAUUAGAAUUUUGGCUAUAUAUUUUGGUAUAUAUCAUUUGUAAAACUUAAAGUGACCUAAUGUUUUAGAAUAUUGGUAAUAAGCAGGGUGGUAGAUAUAGUGUUCUAUUAUUCUAAAUAUCAUAUAUGUAUUAUGUGAAUUCCAUUAUUAGUAAGAAAUAUUUCAUAGCAAAAAUUUGAUUUUUAAAAAGUGUAUUAAUUUAGUGUAUUAAUUUAUACAUGACCAAGUAGCUCUAAAUGUGACAGUUUCACUACAUACACACAAAGAUUGAUGAUUAUUCCUUUUUAACAUUUUUGCUUCUUUAUUCGGGGUUAGGCUCUGAUUUGCUCUGAUAAGCCACUUUAUACUCUGCAGGUUUCAGUUUUUUGUCAAAUGAGAAGAAAGAUCUGACUAACCUCUCAAUUCCCUAACAGAAUUGUUCAGGAAGUUAAAUAAAAUAGUAAAUGGAAGGUACUCUGAAAAUUUU
rnacentral:lncRNA from 1 species